GGGUGGGUGGCUCGGUGGUUAGAGCCUAGGGCUCGUAACCGGAAGGUUCGAGUUCAAACCUCGCAAGAGGCA
rnacentral:tRNA from 1 species